rnacentral:sRNA from 1 species
GGAAUGGAGCCAGUUCCUAUUUCAUGUAGCUGUGUUGAGACUAGUGUGCUUCCUGUAAAUUGUUCAGAACAGAGCCUGAUGUGCUUACCAUUGCUUUUGGUGUCAUUAUUGUAGUACUUUGCUUUUCACUGGGUGCAAGACAAAAUCUCAAUGAGAAGUAGUAGGUAGGCAGGAGUUCUUACAAGCAGGAAGCAAUGGUAGACACUUGACUUUUUAGGUAGGAGUUGGCUAUGGCAGGUGUAAGAGCUGAGUCUGAUUUGCAGGCCUUGCCUUGGUCGCAUUCUAGGCAGCCACAGCAGCCCACAUCACAGUUGGGUGCCCCAUGUGGAGAGUUGUUUAAUAAAUACCCUUCGCUGAUGAUCACAAUGGAGUUUUAUGGUUGCUCUCAGCCUACACGAUACAGAAGUAUAGAAGUAGUUUAAUCUGUAACGGAACACGGAUUUUCCUAUAUUGCCUAUUAAGCUCUCAUUGUGAAAGCCAGUAACUUGUACUCUGAUAGAAAUGAGUCUGCAGUGAUAGUAAUUUAACAAGAAAGUUAGUGUGGAAGCCAAGCUCCCUUUCACGUGCCUUAAAUUUUACCUUUAGUGUCUCAAUGCAUUUUGCAUCUGAGCUUGGCAGUUAAUGGUCUCUGUAAUAAAUUCAAAGUCAAGUUGAGCCCAUGUGGAAUUCUCAAGUCUGUGUGUCUUUGCAAGGCCCUCAUGCCAUCUAGGCUCCUUCCUGGUCAUUUUUUACCAAGUUGAUUGUUUUGUAACAAAUAAUUUACUGAUUGGAAUUCGGAUUGAAUGCUACAGCAGGAAGCAAUCUAUUCUCAAGAACCUGAAGGUUUUUUAGCUGUCUCCUGUUUUGUUGCUAACCUCUUACAAACUGUGGCAACAUCAAGCAGUUCAUAUUCAAGUAAGUUAAAAAGAACAUUUCUACAACCUCUUGUUUUAUUAUUAAUUUGGUUGCAAGCUCAUGGCAGGUAAGGUUUGCGCAUGAUUAGGCAUAUUUGGAAAUUACCAUUGUGGUCAAGAAGAAUCAAAGAAAAGGUCUUUACUACUCAUGUGAUAACUAACAUCCCAUCUGAGUUUAGCCUGUAAACCUUUAACACUGUAUCAAUCCUUCAUCUGAUUUCUUUCAUGCACAGGAGUUGGGGGUGGGGAAAGAUGAAGCACAUAGUCACCUUCUGGCUGCUUUGUUCCUGCCUCUUUUGAUCUCCCAACCUAUAUUGAUAGCUUAAAAUGUCCGUCCUAUUUUCUUUACUUUCCCCCACUCCCUUCAUCUGGUCCCUGUCGGACAGUGAUACAGAUAUAUCGCUAAAUAUCAGCUAUCAAUAAACCAGUAGACUUAAUUAAAGAAAAACAUUGUGUAAUUUGCUGUAAGCACUUUUCUCAGAUUACCAUUAAUUGACUCUGUCCAUAGAUCAUUCACUACAAUGUUUUAUCUUUAUUGGAUUCCUGAUUUUUUUCCAAAAUAUUUUACCUUCCAAGCAUAAAAUGACAUGAUCAAAAUGUUGUUUGUUGGUAUGAAGAUACACUGUAAAUCAAACUGGUCCCUACUACUACAGGUAUAUAAUUCUAUGGUGGAAGGUGGCCAGGACCCUAGAGAUGAUAUGAAAUCUCCACCAUCUGCAGCCCUUAGAAGUAGGGCGGUAUGCAUCAAAAGAAGUGUAAAACAGUCUUGGCUCUUGAGGAGAAAGUCAAGGGUUCAGAAGACUGUUGAGACGGAAGGGAUCAAAACUAUCCAUCACUUCCAGAAAUUCUAGUGUCCCUGUGAUACUGAGUUCCUGUCUUGGAGUUUCUGAUCGCAGGCUGUCAUAAGGGAAGCAUAAGAUGGAGUGAAUCCUUUUCUCCACACGCUUGGUUACGGUUGGUGUUUUAUCACAGCAACUGAGGAACAGCCUAGAACAACUGGCAAAGAGAAGACAUAGUGGUUCACAGUAGCUGGGAGAAUUAGCUUCCCAACUUUGCAUUCAGUGACUUCUUGCUGGCAACCUGGAAUUGGUCCUAGUGGGUAGGAGUAUUAGCACCACGAGAAGUGAAGACGUGGCAGACGUUUUAAAGUGGUAAGUGAUAUUUUGCAUACCCUUCGGAGAGUCAGUUGUUAACACUUGUCUGUAAAACCCUUUUAAGAAACUAUGCCUUUCCCUGGUCAGAUGUAUAGCUGGCAAAUAAUAUUUUCCCAUUCUAUUAGGCUGCUGCUUCAGUUGAUUUACAGUUUCCUUUUCAGUACAGAAACAAAAUGGAUGUAGUGUCAAGCUGCCCUCUAAGUUUGUAUCUCUGUUUCCACAGAUGAGUGUCGCUCUCAGAACUCAGAGCUAUUUAUGUGUGCAACGGAUGGUAGUUAACACAGAAACUCACAAGAGGUCAAAGUAUAGACAAUGCGUGGAGUGCUCAGUCCCAAACACAGUACCUGUACUAUUUCCCCAACCUUCCGAUGAGAGAUCAUAUUAGAUAAUGGGGCGGGAAGAUUUUACAAAGCAAAGCUCAUGGAGGACCAGAGUGAAACUGUCUAAUGGACAUGGUGGGACCCCUGCAUUGAGACGACAUGGAAAAGGUGGAAAGGUCACCAUAUACAAUGUAAGGUGAAAGCUUUCACCAGGAACCAAAACAGCUGACAUACUGAUCUUAGACUUCCCAGAAUCCAAACUCUGAAGUAAAUUUGUUGUUUAAGGGCCUAACCCAGGAUUUAGGACUACCACGCUGAAGAUUGGGCUUCUAGUACUUGAUUCUAUCUACUGUGGAGGUGGAGAUGGCAGACAGAGAGACUGUAGGCCCUAAAAGCAUGGAUGCAAACAAUGAGAACAGCUUCUCGGAUGCUCAUGGCUCAAUGUGCUUCCUACCAACUCCUCCAGCAGUGUGAAAGACAGGUAUAUGAAAACACGACCACGCUGUCCUGUUGGUCCCAGUCUGGUCAUUACUCACUUCUGUUACAACAAGGGUGUGAGAGUUUGCAAGGCCAUCCCACAUUUUAACUGAUUUUGCUACAUGUUUCCUGUGCUUGGUCAUGUACUCUGUUAAGACUGCUUUGAAAGAACGUUACAUCUCAGGGAUGGAGUCGUAAUCCAUCAGCAGUAAUGGUUCUGCAGUAGAGAACUUGUAAUGUCCUUGGAGAGGGUUCAGUUCGCUUCUCAGAACCCACCUCAAAACUUCUUGUAACUCUGACUCCAAGGGACCCAAAACCCUUUCCUAUGUUCCAUAGGUUCUUGCACCUCAUACGUAUUUACACAAAUACAUAAUUAAAAUAAAAGAAAUUAAAAAAAUACUACCACCCAUAAGCUUAAAUGGUAAUUACAAAAGCAAAUAUUUCCCUUUCUAAGUUCUAAGUCAGUAUAAAAUAUGCAUUUAUUUCACCAAUUCAUACAGUAGCUUUAAGAUUUUUCUCUGUGCUGAAGUGAUUUAAUGAAAGAACGUAAGGUUGAAAAUCAAUACAAGAAGAAAAUCAAGUAGAACUUGUUAGUAGAGAAGUGUCAGACCAUCCUUCCGUGCUGAUCCCUUCUCUAGCCUGUGUUUCUCAGGGAUCCUAGAGGGCAUAGUUUUGACAUCACUGUAUUAAGCUAUAAAACUUAUUAUAAACAAUUUUUGUUUUACAAAAGCUAUUCGUUUGGCAGAAGACAGCAAGCUAUGAACCCAUCCCAUCUUGCCAUUGCUGGGUUUGGUGCUUCACUAAGCACUCUGAAGACUUUAUUCUCUUUAUUAACCUUCCUUUCCUCCACAAUUGCUACAUCAUUGUUCCACCAAUGCCCUUGAGAGACUAAAGCCAACAACUUGGUUAACAGCAUCCUGUACUCAGUAAUAAACACAGUGUUUCCAUAGACUUUAUCCUUUUACUACUGUUCUAUGUUUCUGGCUGAUGGCACACAAUGCUGCUGUCAGACUUUGACCUGGAGCCACGCUUCUGCAUGCUCUCCCAAGAUCAUAGAAGCUUUUCCAUAAAGAAAAUCUAUAAAGCUGACAUUCAUGGGUCUUAAAUUAACUAUCCGACCCAAAUUAACUUAUUGACCUUCACUGAGCUUUGAUUUUUCUAAUCUGUAAAAUAGAUCAGUGGCAUUGACUUGACCUAAAUAAUACAAA